rnacentral:rRNA from 1 species
CUCAGGACGAACGCUGGCGGCGUGCCUAAUACAUGCAAGUCGAACGCUUCUUUCCUCCCGAGUGCUUGCACUCAAUUGGAAAGAGGAGUGGCGGACGGGUGAGUAACACGUGGGUAACCUACCCAUCAGAGGGGGAUAACACUUGGAAACAGGUGCUAAUACCGCAUAACAGUUUAUGCCGCAUGGCAUAAGAGUGAAAGGCGCUUUCGGGUGUCGCUGAUGGAUGGACCCGCGGUGCAUUAGCUAGUUGGUGAGGUAACGGCUCACCAAGGCCACGAUGCAUAGCCGACCUGAGAGGGUGAUCGGCCACACUGGGACUGAGACACGGCCCAGACUCCUACGGGAGGCAGCAGUAGGGAAUCUUCGGCAAUGGACGAAAGUCUGACCGAGCAACGCCGCGUGAGUGAAGAAGGUUUUCGGAUCGUAAAACUCUGUUGUUAGAGAAGAACAAGGACGUUAGUAACUGAACGUCCCCUGACGGUAUCUAACCAGAAAGCCACGGCUAACUACGUGCCAGCAGCCGCGGUAAUACGUAGGUGGCAAGCGUUGUCCGGAUUUAUUGGGCGUAAAGCGAGCGCAGGCGGUUUCUUAAGUCUGAUGUGAAAGCCCCCGGCUCAACCGGGGAGGGUCAUUGGAAACUGGGAGACUUGAGUGCAGAAGAGGAGAGUGGAAUUCCAUGUGUAGCGGUGAAAUGCGUAGAUAUAUGGAGGAACACCAGUGGCGAAGGCGGCUCUCUGGUCUGUAACUGACGCUGAGGCUCGAAAGCGUGGGGAGCAAACAGGAUUAG